rnacentral:rRNA from 1 species
GAGAGUUGUAGUCCUGGCUCAGGAUGAACGACGUGGCGGCGUGCUAACACAUGCAAGUCGAACGAACGCGACGUCCCUCCGAGGGCCGUUCGGGCGGAGGGGGGCGGAGUGACGUUAGUGGGCGGACGGGUGAGGUAACGCGUGGGUAACCUGCCCUAUACUGGGGGAGUAACAGCUAGAAAUGGCUGCUAAUACCGCAUGAGCGCACAGUCCCGCAUGGGACAGUGUGGAAAACUCCGGUGGUAUAGGAUGGACCCGCGUCCGAUCAGCUGGUUGGUGGGGUAACGGCCCACCAAGGCGACGAUCGGUAGCCGACCUGAGAGGGUGACCGGCCACAUUGGGACUGAGACACGGCCCAAACUCCUACGGGAGACAGCAGUGGGGGAUAUUGCACAAUGGGGGGAACCCUGAUGCAGCGACGCCGCGUGAGUGAAGGAGUACUCCGGUAUGUAAAGCUCUAUCAGCAGGGAAGAAGCAAGACGGUACCUGACCAAGAAGCCCCGGCUAACUACGUG